rnacentral:rRNA from 1 species
UACGUAGGGUGCGAGCGUUGUCCGGAAUUUAUUGGGCGUAAAGAGCUUGUAGGCGGUUUGUCGCGUCUGCCGUGAAAAUCCGGGGCUCAACCCCGGACUUGCGGUGGGUACGGGCAGACUAGAGUGUGGUAGGGGAGACUGGAAUUCCUGGUGUAGCGGUGAAAUGCGCAGAUAUCAGGAGGAACACCGAUGGCGAAGGCAGGUCUCUGGGCCAUAACUGACGUGAGAAGCGAAAAGCAUGGGGGAGCGAACAGG